AUUCCCACUUGACUUUUUCUUACAAACAAUCUUAAAUUUCCUCUCUCUGUCUCAUCCUCCCGAUCUCUAUCUCUUUGUCUCCCCUAUGUUUUUUUGGUGCAGCGAUGGAAAGCCACAGCUGGCUCUAGCCAUCAACAACCCUCUUCUACCCCAAAAAAUCUCUCUCUUCCCUUGCACGACGACACUGCCAGGCAAAGAUGGCCACCCUAGUGCUCGCAGAAACCCAAAUGGUGACCAGUGGCCAAUAGACCUCAGCCUCUUCGUUUGCAUCUAUCGACAGAGGAUGACUUCAAACAUGAUGGUUCAUUCUCUCCCUCUGGUUCUCGGCCCGAGCCUCACGCAAACCUCCGUCUCCGGUCUUCUUCCCCAACGACAGGUUACCAUUGUCCAAGAGCCAUCAUCAUCAACGAACAUAGUCAGAUUAAAUAUUUUGUAUAUUUUUUCUUAAAAGAUUUAUGGGUUUAUGGGACUCGUUGACAAUAAGAUUUAUGGGUUUUGUUUAUAUAUAUAUCUGACAUUGUGGUUUUAAUUUUUAUAUUAGUGUGAUGAUUAGGACUAAAUUCAAGUGAAGUGAUGGAUGAGAAAUUACAAUAUCAUAUUGCUUGUCUAUGUUUAAGAUCUGGUUUUAUAAUUUCUUUUUUGAUGUAUAAAUUUUUUGUUAAGUUUAAGACAUUUUAUUACUUAGAUUUGAAUUUAGGUUUUUGUUCUAUUAAUUUUUGUAUUUUUUUUCUUUAAAGAUUAGGAAUUUUAGAUGUUUAUGCCCAUGUUUAUAAAUUUUUGAUUUAAGUGUUUUUUAGGUCUGUAUGUAUUUUGUUAUAUUUUUAUUAUAUAGGUUCUUAUAGAAAGCUAAAUUUAAACAUAUUAAGUUUGGUAUAUAGUAAUUAAAUGAUAUCAUUAAUUAUUUUAUUAUCUAUAAUUAAAUUAUUAUUAAAAAUUUAUAAUAUAUAAUUUAAACUAAAAAAAUUAAACAUUAUUAAUUUUCUAAAAAAUAAAAUUAUAAAAUUAAAUGAAAAAUAUAAAAAUAUUAUAUUGCUUUCCUAAUUAAAAAAAAUUAUUAAUUUUCUAAAAAAAAUUAAAAAAAUUAUUUUGAGAAAAUUAUAUUAUUUUUUUUAGAAAAAUAUUUAAUAUAGUGGCACUUUUUCUGUGUCACUAUACCUCUAAAAAUAGUAAUGAAGAAUAAAAUAAAAGAAAAAAAAAGAUAUAGUGACACUUUUUGUGUGUAGCUAUUACUUUUUCAGUCUGACAAAAUUUGACUUUAAAUGCCUAUAGUGACGCGCAGUGAGUGACUGUAUAAGGGUUUAGUGACACGCGUGAAGUGUCACUAAAAAUUGUCUUUCCAGUCGCCCUCAUUAGUGACGCGUGGUGAAGUGUCACUAAAUGAGUUGAGAGUCACUCAAUGUGUAUCACUAAAACCUAUUUUUCUAGUAGUGGAAUGUCGGGAAUAGGCGGGAUUUUAGAGUUUCCCAAAAUACCCCUAAGUACCCUUUUAUGCCUUUUACUGUGGGAAGGGCAAAGUGGUCUUUUUACUCAUUUGUAUGUUUUGUCUUUUAGUGAAUUUUAUGUUAAUGAGAAAUCAGAUUUUUAAUGUUUAUUUUGGCUGAAGUGAUUUAAUUAAACCAUCAUUUUAUCCCAUUUUAUCCAUUUUUCUAAAAAAUAAGAAAAUUGAAAAGAUAUAUAUAUAUAUCUCUCUCUCUCUCUCUCGUUUUUCCCUUAGUACCCAGCUAGGGUUGUGGAUUUUGCUACUUCAUCUAGGGAUUUCAAGCAAAUUUUUGUGGUUUUAACUCAAGGUAAGGCUCUAGCAACUCUCUUUCGGUUUCUUGAUUUUAAAGAUAGUGAAUCAUGCAUGUUUUUGCAAGUUUAGUGGCUCUUGUUGUUGUUGUUGUUGAGUUAUGUUUGCUGAAGCUAAAUUAUGUUUUUACAGAGUGUUUUGAUCAGAUUUUUAUAGCUAGUUAGUUGGAUGAGAAAGCUUUGAGUUUUUGAACUACUCAAGCUUGACUCAUCAAUGGUGAAUUUUGAUUCUAAGCUUUGAAUGUUGUUUUGUUGCUUGGAAAAUGUUUAUUGGGGUAUAAUAUGCAGGUCUGAAAACUUUGGUUGAGUUUGGAAACGUUUUGUUUAGGGUUUGAAGCUUUGUUGGUUUUCUGGGUAAAACCGGCUAACCAGUUUUACACUGCUUGUAAAACCGGUUACCCGGAUUUUGCAGCAAGGGGUGAAAACUAGUUUUUUUCAGCUUGUCGUUUCGUGUUAGUUUCAGGUUUUCAGACAGUUUAUUCCCUGCUAGUUUGGGAUAUUUGUGUAUUAAGUUACAGUAGGUUAAGUUUUGGUUUUAAACCUUUGUCCCGGUUGUGAUUUAGCGGAUCACUUAUAUGUUUUGGAAUCAAUGGGAUUUAGGAGCCUAUAAUUCGCCGAGCAGUUCUUCCACUCCAGUUGACCGGCACACCUGAAUUCGGAAUUAAGGUAAGGGCAAGGCCAAAGCUGAGGAAUUGUGAGGACGAGCAGAUGGAGGUUGUACAUGUCGGGGCAGUUAGGUCUGGAGCGUACGAUCCUCGGGACAUCAGGACUUUUGUUAUUAGUCGCUGGGCAACAAAUAUUUUGUAAAUGAAUAGCGAACUUUUGUAAAGUAUUUUUUAUACGAGAUUCUGAAAUAUUUUGUAUGUAAUAUUAUAAGUUUUUAAUUAAAUAAGAAAAUUUUAAUUAAUCA